AAUCGUCCGAUCUACCAUCUGAUAGACCGCAGUUCGACUCAAGCCAUAGGACGGGGACUUGAG
rnacentral:ncRNA from 2 species